UGUGUAGAGGGGUGAGGGUACCGUGCAUUACCGGGUAACCCUCCCUUCUUUCACAGU
rnacentral:pre_miRNA from 1 species